rnacentral:rRNA from 1 species
UACGUAGGGUGCAGGCGUUAAUCGGAAUUACUGGGCGUAAAGCGUGCGCAGGCGGUUUCUUAAGUCAGAUGUGAAAGCCCCGGGCUUAACCUGGGAACUGCGUUUGAAACUGGGAGACUAGAGUGUGGCAGAGGGGGGUGGAAUUCCACGUGUAGCAGUGAAAUGCGUAGAGAUGUGGAGGAACACCGAUGGCGAAGGCAGCCCCCUGGGUCAAGAUUGACGCUCAUGCACGAAAGCGUGGGGAGCAAACAGG